UUUGGAUGUGGUAAUUACUCACCCUGAUGGGAAAAGUCAUAAGGGUUUUUUACCAAGAUUCGUGAAGCAUUUGAAGAAUAUGGAGUUCUUAAGAGAGGAUUUCGUAUUUAGCAUUCACAGCGAGGAGGGCACUGAUUCAGGUGUUGACACAUAUUUUGGUCUUUGUACAUAUCCUGGAAGAGAACUGAGACACCGCAUAGAUUUCAAGGUAUAUCCGAGGGAUAUAUAUGCAUUUGGUUUAAUAGCAUGGACUGGUAAUGAUGUAUUAAACCGGAGGCUGAGAUUGUUAGCAGAAUCCAAAGGAUACCGGCUUGAUGAUACAGGACUAUUUCCAGCCACUCAGGCUUCAGGUGGCAAAAGGGGUGUAAGGGCUAGCGCAAGCCUAAGGUUUGACACUGAAAAAGAAGUUUUUGAUUUCCUGGGGUUCCUUUGGCUUGAACCUCAUGAAAGAAAUCUCUGAGAUGUAUAUAGUUUGCAUGAGGAUCUUUUAUAUGUGAACACAUCUAGGAGGAGCCAACAAAUUCGACGAUGCACAACUAAGAAGUGAAAGCUGGAUCAUUUUUGGCAGUUAAAGUGAGACCUGGCUCGUUUUUGCUGGUUUUUAUCCUUGAAGGGAUUUGCGUGCUAUCUGCUCGGUGAUUGUUAACUCUUUUGACUUGUGUUGUUAUGCAUCCUUUGUAACUUAUAUUCUGGUGUACAUAGCUUUCGAAUCGCCAACGAAUAUCCCUAGUCUUUUUGAAUGAACUGGAUUUAAAUCCAACUCACAUUACAGGGAUUUGCGUGCUAUCUGCUCGGUGAUCUCUCAUCACUACCUUUGCGCGCCAAAGAUUGUGUGAUUGGUUAAUAGUGUUGCCAACCGAAAGCUCCGCAGGUGGUUUCAUUUGGCCAAUUCAUUACCAUCGUGACAAUAGGGAUUUGCGCAAUGGAGUUGUGUCUUAAUUCUCAAAUAUCAUAUCCAGCAAUGGGGCAUCAGAACAUCCUACUGGAAUUUACACCUAAAGUCAGAAGGUGAUUAGACCUCCAUUGUUGUAAGGGGGGAGGAUUUUUCAAUUCCUCCAUAUAAGGCU
rnacentral:misc_RNA from 1 species